GUACGGCCCUGACCGUCCCAAGUACCUGGGCCCGUUCUCCGAGCAGACCCCGUCGUACCUGACCGGCGAGUUCCCCGGCGACUACGGGUGGGACACCGCCGGAUUGUCUGCUGACCCCGAGACGUUCGCCAAGAACAGGGAGCUGGAGGUGAUCCACUCGCGGUGGGCGAUGCUCGGCGCCCUCGGGUGCGUGUUCCCGGAGAUCCUGUCCAAGAACGGCAUCAAGUUCGGCGAGGCCGUGUGGUUCAAGGCCGGCGCCCAGAUCUUCUCCGAGGGCGGCCUCGACUACCUGGGCAACCCCAACCUGGUGCACGCGCAGAGCAUCCUCGCCAUCUGGGCGGUGCAGGUGGUGCUCAUGGGCUUCAUCGAGGGCUACCGUGUUGGUGGCGGGCCCCUCGGCGAGGGCCUCGAUAUCAUCUACCCAGGCGGCGCCUUCGACCCACUUGGCCUCGCCGACGACCCUGACACCGCCGCCGAGCUCAAGGUGAAGGAGCUCAAGAACGGCCGCCUCGCCAUGUUCUCCAUGUUCGGCUUCUUCGUGCAGGCCAUCGUCACCGGGAAGGGGCCAGUUGAGAACCUCUUCGACCACGUCGCCGACCCGGUCAACAACAACGCCUGGGCCUUCGCCACCAACUUCGCCCCCGGAAGCUAAAUGUGUUUAGCCGUCCGUCCGUCCGUCCGUCCAUCGGACGAGAUAUGCAUGUGUACUUGUACGUCGUGGAUCAACG
rnacentral:lncRNA from 1 species